rnacentral:rRNA from 1 species
UGGGGAAUCUUGCACAAUGGGGGAAACCCUGAUGCAGCGACGCCGCGUGAACGAUGAAGCCCUUCGGGGUGUAAAGUUCUUUCGACAGGAACGAUAAUGACGGUACCUGGAGAAGAAGCUGCGGCUAACUACGUGCCAGCAGCCGCGGUAAUACGUAGGCAGCGAGCGUUGUUCGGAGUUACUGGGCGUAAAGAGUGCGUAGGCGGCGAGCCAAGUUUGGUGUGAAAUCUCCCGGCUUAACCGGGAGGGUGCGCCGAAAACUGGUUGGCUGGAGUAUGUGAGAGNAAAGCGGAAUUCCUGGUGUAGCGGUGAAAUGCGUAGAUAUCAGGAGGAACACCUGCGGUGUAGACAGCUUUCUUGACCAAAACUGACGCUGAGGCACGAAAGCGUGGGUAGCAAACA